UACGUAGGGACCAAGCGUUGUUCGGAUUUACUGGGCGUAAAGGGCGCGUAGGCGGCUUUGCAAGUGACGGGUGAAAGCCCUCGGCUUAACCGAGGAACUGCCUGUCAGACUGUGAGGCUUGAGACCAGGAGAGGUGAGUGGAAUUCCCAGUGUAGAGGUGAAAUUCGUAGAUAUUCGCAAGAACACCAGUGGCGAAGGCGGCUUACUGGUCCGGUUCUGACGCUGAGGCGCGAAAGCGUGGGGAGCAAACAGG
rnacentral:rRNA from 1 species